UUGCCUUUAGGAGGGGGAUAACAGAGUGAAAACGCUGCUAAUACCCCAUAUGCUUUCGAGUGAAAUGGAUUUAUUCGCCUAAAGAGAAGCUCGCGGCUGAUUAGCUUGUUGGUAAGGUAAUGGCUUACCAAGGCGACGAUCAGUAUCUGGUUUGAGAGGACGAUCAGACACACUGGAACUGAGACACGGUCCAGACUCCUACGGGAGGCAGCAGUGGGGAAUUUUCCGCAAUGGGCGAAAGCCUGACGGAGCAAUACCGCGUGAGGGAUGACUGCCUAUGGGUUGUAAACCUCUUUUCUCAGGGAGGAAAUCAAUGACGUUACCUGAGGAAUAAGCAUCGGCUAACUCCGUGCCAGCAGCCGCGGUAAGACGGAGGAUGCAAGUGUUAUCCGGAAUCACUGGGCGUAAAGCGUCUGUAGGUGGCUUAACAAGUCAACUGUUAAAUCUUGAAGCUCAACUUCGAAAUCGCAGUCGAAACUGUUAGGCUAGAGUAUAGUAGGGGUAAAGGGAAUUUCCAGUGG
rnacentral:rRNA from 1 species